UGGGCAGGAUUUCAUGUUGUUCCCGGGGCUUCAUCGCACCAAGGAGAAUGAGAAAGAAAGGGGGAGAGAGAAGGAAAGUCUCCGCAGCUCCGCAGCGCGAACCCAGGUGUCCCGCAUGGCGAGGCAGGUUCCCUCUCCCAGAGAGUCACCACAGCAACACUCCACCAUCCAUGGACCUCCCCCCAGGCUUGCGAUGCUAGGACUUGAACUCAGAACCACACACACUCUACUGGAGCACCGCUGGGGUGUUUUCCAGCUGCAGGCAGAAGCCUUGGCCUCAUCUCUGCCUCUCCCAUGGGCUGCUCACCCCGCAGAGCUGCAGACUCAGCGGUCCGGGCCACGCUGCUCAUCGCUGAGUGAUGUGCUGGCCCUGCCACUCCUGCCUUCUCAUGAACCAUGUUUGGAUUCGGGGUGUGAGG